rnacentral:rRNA from 1 species
GUGUCAGCAGCCGCGGUAAGACGUAGGGGGCCAGCGUUGCUCGGAAUUACUGGGCGUAAAGGGUGCGUAGGCGGGUCUUUAAGUCAGGGGUGAAAUCCUGGAGCUCAACUCCAGAACUGCCUUUGAUACUGAAGAUCUUGAGUUCGGGAGAGGUGAGUGGAACUGCGAGUGUAGAGGUGAAAUUCGUAGAUAUUGGGAAGAACACCGGUGGCGAAGGCGGCUCACUGGCUCGUUUCUGACGCUCAGGCGCGACAGCGUGGGGAUCAAACAGGAUUAGAUACCCUGGUAGUCCACGCCGUAAACGAUGAUUGCUAGCCGUUGGGCAGCUUGCUGUUCAGUGGCGCAGCUAACGCAUUAAGCAAUCCGCCUGGGGAGUACGGGCGCAAGGCUGAAACUCAAAGGAAUUGACGG